AUCCUAAGGUUCCGCACGCUCACUUUCACCUACAACUGGCCCGUUUCAAACAAUUGAAACCGCGUAGUUCCCCGUCCGAACUGGAAUAAACUGCGCAAUACUUAUUGGCACGGCUUUCCCGAAACACCGGUUAGAUG
ensembl:ncRNA C16B8.7 ncRNA